ensembl:lncRNA
GGGGGGGGGGUCCUGGGGGUCUUAGACACACAGAGAGAGAGAGAGAGACAGAGAGAGAGAGAAAGAGAGAGACAGAGACAGAAAGGGAGGGAGAUAGGUUGAGACAGACAGAAAGAUGGAGAGAGAAAAAGAGAGCGAGAAGUGAUGGAGAGAGAAAAAGAGAGCGAGAAGUGAUGGAGAGAGAAAGAGAUAGAGAGACACAGAGAGUGGGGGAGAGAUCGAGAGAGCGACACAGAGAGAGAUGGGGUGAGAGAAAGACAGGGAGACAGAGACAGACAGACACAGGGAGAGAGGUAGACAGAGAUGGAGGAAGAGAUACAGAGAGACACAAACAAAUAUAGAGACAUCGAGAGAGAGAGAGAGAGAGAGAUGCACGGAGAGACAGAGACAAAAAGACAGGCCCAGUGAGAGUGAGAGAGAUGCACGGAGAGACAGAGACAAAAAAAGACAGACCGAGUGAGUGAGUGAGUGAGAGAGAGAGAGAUGCACGGAGAGAAAUAGAGAAAAAAAAGACAGACCUAGUGAGUGAGUGAGAUAGAUAGAGAUAGAGAGAGAGAGAGAAAGCGAGAGAUGCACGGAGAGCGACAGAGAAAAAAAAGACAGGCCCAGUGAGGGAGGGAGGAGGAGAGAGAGAGAGAGAGAGAGAGAGAGAGAGUGAGAGAGAUGCGGAGACACAAUCUGUGUGAUAAAAGUGGUUUCACCUUAUUAUAUCACACACAAUCUCACGACCAUUUAUGAAUCAUUUCAUUUAUGGGUUUUUAAAAAAACAAACCCAGACCCGUUUCAGAUCAGACCCAGGAUCCAGACCCGUUUCAGAUCAGACCCAGGGUCUACCAGCAGUGCCUGAGGAAAGCACUUUAAACAUAUAUUCGGUUUCCUCGCCUCAAACACACCAGACCAGAGACGUUGACAGAUUAUUGGAGAAAUAAAGACCGGUGGCUUUAGUGUGGUUUAAAACAACACGCCCAGCUUCUAAAGGUCGUGACGGUUCUGUCCACGUUCUGGUGGGCGAGUGCUAACGGCUGUGUACGGUUCAGACACCCUGCAAUCACAGGCACCACGGUUCGACGCCGAAAAUCCAGGCCAAGAAUUUACUUGCCACUUGGAAAAAGAAAAGAAAAAUAAAAUCCCCGAAGGCACUCUCUCAUUCAGGAAGCGAAGGCAGAACACACGUGUCACACGCCUUCAUCAAUAAUUCAUUCCUGCUUACAUUACUGUCGCCUUCAUUUGAAGGCAGCGACACAUCCAUUUUGGAAGAAAUAACAUUUGUCGAGCACAUGUGGUGCACAGGCGCGGGCCGCCAUAAUACGCUGCUUUCAUCUGGACUGGAGGAAGGAGAAGCCUGGAUGAUUAGACGUUUACACGUGACGGAGCUCGUCGCCCAAAUCGUCACCUCUCCACCUCUCCACAUGCUCUGGGGGAGUUUCGGUUAUUAGGUUGGGUUUUGUGUAGAAUAUACAACAGCAGGUCACGGCACUGAUCACUCUUUAUAUAAGCACACACACACACACACACACACACACGGGGGGGUAUCAGUUUUACUGGAACUUUCAGACAGGGGGAGAGAGAGACAGAUAUAGAGAGAGAAAAUGAGAGAGGUGGAGAGAGAAAAAAGAUAGAGAGACGGAGAGAGAGAGAGUGGGGAGAGAGAGAGUAAGAGAGCGAGACAGAGAAAGAGAGAAAAAGAGAUUGAGAGAGAGAGAGAAAAAAAGAGAUGGAGAGACAGAGAGAGAAAAAGACGGAGAAACAGGGAGAGAGUGGGGGAGUGAGUGAGAGAUUGAGAGAGAGAGAGAGAGAGAGAGAGAGAGAGAGAAAGAGUGGGGGAGAGAGCAAAAGAGAAAGAGAGAGACAGAGAAAGCAAGAGACAGAGAAAAACAGAGAGAGAGAAAGAGAGACAGUGGGAGGAGAGAGAAAGAGUGGAGGAGAGAGAGACAGAAAGAUAAAAAGAGAUGGAGAGACAGAAAGAGAGAAGGGUGGGGGGGACAAACAGAGAGGGGCGACAGAAAGAGAGAAUGGGGGGGUGACAAACAGAGAGGGGGGAGAGAGAGAGAGACAAAAAGAGAGAGAGAGUGGGGGGAGCGAUGGAGGACGAGAAAAUCAUUUCUACAUUAUUUUACGUCGCAAUAAAAGAAAGCUGUAGAACAGGAGUUUAUACCUGUCCAGUGUUCUACCGUUAUCGUUUCUAUAGUAACGACCUACACGGUGACUUGUGGCACGGUGGACGUGUGUAACUCUGUAAGGACGUGUGAGGAGGCAUUUAUUUAUCAUUCAUGGAAGGAGUCUCCAGUGUCAGUGCUGUGUAAGAGACUUCAGCACCGCGAGUUUCCUGAAAACAACCUGUGCUUUUAUUUACUUUUAUGAGCCUCAAGUGACCUUAUGAGCAAUUUUAUAUACGUUACACGGUCAAAAGUUUAUGGACACCUGACCAUUGCACCCGUACAACUUCUUCCAGCUUUUUAACACCACAUGUCUGCCAACUCAAAGCCUGAAUGAAACUGGUGAUGAAAGAGAAAAUCAACACGAACUUCAUAACAAACCGUCAAUCAAAUCAAAUCAAAUCAAAUCAAAAGAAAAACAACAAAAAGUUGCAACUGAAUUGCUUCAAGUUUAGGCCUCAAUUCGACCUCGGCUCGGGCUGAAUUCCAAAUAGCGCUGAAUUACUCACCUAGUGUGCUAGGUAGGGCACGACACGUCGCAGCGUUAACCCCUACAGAGGGCACUAAUACAGGGAGCCGAGCACUAUUUGGUCUUAUCCGCCGAUAGUGCGCGUGAGGAAGAAAUUAAGCAUGCUGAGGGAACAGAAACGUGAAACGCGUUAUUCUAGAAAUCAUUAACCACUAAAAAGGAAUAAAAGAAUUCAAAACAAUCCCAGAUUUAUUAUAUAUUUAGUAUUUAUUAUACAAUUAUUUAUUAUGUAUAUAGUUAGCGUAGUGGGCUAAGAGGCUAACUAAAAAAAAAACGGAAACGUUAUCAAAAUGUUAUCAUUAUUCUCGCGAAUACCUGUCAUUCAUGUUGAAGAUGGCACAGAAGCUAAAUUUGCGUCUUAAACACUGUAUUUAUGCGCACUAUUAUUAUUAUUAUUAUCUUAUUAAAACGACGGUUGGGUGAACAGCGGAUGGUGACUAUGCUAAGCUACGCUAAGCUAGCUUGCUGAAAUGUCACAGCGCUGGCCUGUUCAGCUAGCUGGGUACCGUUAUAAUUUCUACAUUUCUUUUUAUUUAUUGCCCCGGUGCAUGAAAUGAGAUGUUUACAGUGCUCGGUAUGAGUAGAGAAUCUCACCUAUGAUGUGUGUUCAGUAGCUUUAGUGCUGUGGAGUAAAGCGAGUUACUCCUGUUCUCACUCCAUUCCCUCCUCUCACUGCUAACACAGUUACAUGCACGCGCACGCCGCAAGAGCGCGCACGCAAAGCAAACAGGAAACCUAC